CUGACCUCGUGAUCCGCCCGCUUCAGCCUCCCAAAGUGCUGGGAUUAGCCACCGCGCCCGGCCCACAAUUUUCAAAAUAGGAAUCAGUUUAGCAGACGUGUGUGAGUUCACAAGAACCUUUAGGUUUUCACGGAAGAAACAGGCCUGGUGGAUGGGCCGUAGCUGCCCAGGAUGUCCCGUUCUGUGUGUGUGUGCAGGCCCUGUGGGCAACUUGGGGUACCGGCUGCAGAGGGCACUGAGCUGGGACAGCUAGGUGCUGGCUGGCCCCGUGGGCCUUCUGACGGCUCCUCUCCAGGGGCUCAGAUGCGUGGGUUCCACUGUAGGCCAGGGACCGAGUAGCACUUCACCUGCGUCAGUGGCCCAUUUCAGAGAUGAGGAGACAGAGGCUCAGAAGUUACCCCCUCCAACGUGUCAGGAUUCAAACUGCUUGAAGAGAGGUGUUUUCUGAAUCCAAGGCGGGGUGGUCAUGGGGAUCUCUCAGGGGGCAGCCAGGUCACUGAGGUGUUGGUGUGGCUGUGUGUGGCUGUCGGGGAGUGCAGUUGGGACUGAGUGGUUGGAGGGAAGGCCCAGGGCAUGUCCCCGCCCGAGUACAGGAACGUGCUGGGCGGGCGGGAACUGCAGAGCCAGGGCCGGCGUGUGCUUGUGACUCUAAGUUCCCCUCACCCGGGACCUGGGACCACAGGCCUCCCACACGGUCCCAGAAGGUUCCGUGGGGAACUGGGGGACUGAAUGGGCGUUGUGAGUGAGUGAACGUGAAGCAGACACUCUGGGCCUGGCAGUGCUGGCUGCUCUCUUGGCCACCCUCCCCAGGUGUACUGUGCCGGGUGUAUUAAGUCUGCAAAGCCAGGAAAUGGCAGAGCCAGGACUUCCCCGGGCCCAGGGUGACCCCAAAGGCUCAUAAUGUGGUGCCAGAGACCAAGGGGAGUGACACCAGCUCAGGCACUGGGAGCAUCACAGCGAGGGGCAGGUGACACGGACCUGGCAAAGAAGACAGAGAGAGCUAAGGAGAGGCUGGCCUAGCUCCCCACACAGAUGUUGCCUGGAAAUGAGGUCCAGCAGCGCCUCACAGGGGCAGACACCCAAGAACACCGUGCGGCUGGGAGGACACGUCUUCAUCUCCUUGGAUAGGCAGGUGGGCCAGACCCACCCUGAGCUGAGGCCUGAAGGUGCAGGAGGAAGAAGAGAGCUGCCCUGGGGUGGAGGGGAGUCCACUCCUCAGAGCAGCACAGCCCAGGUAGGUCAGGGUCCUACAGAGUCAGCUGGCAUCCUGCUGAAGCCUGGAUGCUGACAGACCAGCAGGGCGUGCAGGCCGAGGGCACCCAUGCCUGUGGCUGAGACCCCUCAGUGUAGACGGCUUUCCUCCAGCUGGAAUCUGAGCCACCGCUGGGACCCAGGGCUUGCCAGGGGCGUAGCCCUGCUUAGAUGGGUGGGCUGCAUCAGAGUGUGCACACACUCACAGGCAGGGUACACGCGCCUCAUCACCCUAACCCAGCACACCGUGGGAGGUGCAAGUUAUUAACACAGGGACCUCAGGUGCCAACUGAGUGUGCUGGGACCAGGGCGCCUGGCCCCCGCUGAUAGACCUUCGCUUGGCAUCUGUUAACUGUUAGUUAACAAACAAUCUCAACGGUGAUCUAGGACAUUUAGUUUUCCAACAAUAGCAGGGGAAUUCCUCCCCACCGCUCUCCCUCUCUCCCUUCUUCCCUGCUGACUUGAGGCCCCAGCUCAAGGAGAGCAAAGACACCAGCCUCACGCUUGAUGAUGACCCUGUUUGGCUCACGGUCACCUAUUAGCGAGCAGCCCAUGUCCACAUGUGAACAGGCACAUGCACACACACUUCCAGCCCCACAGGCACCUGUGCACAGGGGACCCAGCCCCUCUCUGAUGUGCAGGGUCACCCUCCCCGGGGGCUGCCCUGCUGAGGUUUGGGGAGCAAUGCAGGUGUGUCCGACCCAACAAGAGCUGGCGUCUCUCCCGGCCCUCCCCAUGCACCCUCCCUGACCCUCCCUCUGUAUCCUCUAGCUUCCCCACCACUCCCCCUUGUUGAUUUAACCCGUGGCUGCCGGAACAGGGCUCAGCGCCAGGUAGCAAAAGCAAUGGGUUCAGGGCACCAGCCACACACCUGAAAAACCUGCCUCCUCAGGGCAGCAUUUCCAGCGGCAGAGAACAGUUGUUCAGAACAGCCGUCUUCUCGGGCAGUGGGUGUUAGGAAGUUCACAUUUAUCCUGGACUUCACCUUGUGCAUCAGGCCUCAUGUUUCAACUCAGAGCCACAGGCUUUUCAUAACCUAUUCUGGGGAAGGAAACAGCCACUGAAUUGAAAGUCAGUUCUUUUACAAGCAAGAGUCUUUUUCACCUGGUCCAGUGUGAGGUCAUCAAGAGCCAGGCAUUUCAUUUCUCUCCACUUGUUAAUUGUCAUUUCACUUCACUUGGUGAUAUUAAGAGCUUGGACUCUUCAUAUGAUAUCAUGUCAUAUAUCAUAUCAUAUCAUAUCAUAUCAAUCAAAGCCCAGCUCUGACAUGUAUUUACUGUGCGAUCUGGAGCAAAUUGCUUAACCUCUCUGAGCUUCAGUUGCCUUACCUGUGAAAUAGGAAUAAUAGCAAUACGUACCUUAUAGGACUGUUGUGAGGGCUAAAAUAGACAAUGAAUUUAAAGUACAAGUUCCACGCAGAAUCUUAAAAAUCAAACUCAUAGUAACAGAGUAGAACGGUGGUUUCUAGAGGCUGGAGUGGGGGACGUGAGGAGAUGUGGGUCAGAGCUACAAACUUGCAGUCACGGGAUGAGUAACUUCUGGGGAUGUAAGGUACAGCGUGGUGACUCCAGCUAAUGACAAUGUAUUGUUUACUUGAAAUGGACUAAGAGGAUAGAUCUUACAUGUUCUCACCACAAAAAAAGGGUGCCUGUGAGGCAGUGGACACAUUCAUUGCCUGAUUGUGGUCAUUACUUGCCAGUGUAUGUGUGGAUCAAAUCAUCACAUCGUACAUCUUAAAUGUACACACUUUUAUUGAUGAAUUACACCUCAGUUGAGCUGGGAGAAAAA